AGAUUGAACGCUGGCGGCAUGCCUAACACAUGCAAGUCGAACGGGAGUAGCAAUACUCUAGUGGCGGACGGGUGAGGAAUACGUAGGAAUUUGCCCUUAAGUGGGGGAUAACCCGGGGAAACCCGGAUUAAUACCGCAUGACCUCGAAAGAGCAAAGUGGGGGAUCGCAAGACCUCACGCUUUUGGAGAAGCCUACGUCGGAUUAGCUAGUUGGUGAGGUAAUGGCUCACCAAGGCGACGAUCCGUAACUGGUCUGAGAGGAUGAUCAGUCACACCGGAACUGAGACACGGUCCGGACUCCUACGGGAGGCAGCGAGUGGGGAAUA
rnacentral:rRNA from 1 species